rnacentral:rRNA from 1 species
GAUGAACGCUGGCGGCGUGCCUAAUACAUGCAAGUCGAACGCGCAGCGAAAGGUGCUUGCACCUUUCAAGCGAGUGGCGAACGGGUGAGUAACACGUGGAUAACCUGCCUCAAGGCUGGGGAUAACAUUUGGAAACAGAUGCUAAUACCGAAUAAAACUUAGUGUCGCAUGAUACAAAGUUAAAAGGCGCUACGGCGUCACCUAGAGAUGGAUCCGCGGUGCAUUAGUUAGUUGGUGGGGUAAAGGCUUACCAAGACGAUGAUGCAUAGCCGCGUUGAGAGACUGAUCGGCCACAUUGGGACUGAGACACGGCCCAAACUCCUACGGGAGGCUGCAGUAGGGAAUCUUCCACAAUGGGCGCAAGCCUGAUGGAGCAACGCCGCGUGUGUGAUGAAGGCUUUCGGGUCGUAAAGCACUGUUGUAUGGGAAGAAAUGCUAUAAUAGGGAAUGAUUUUAGUUUGACGGUACCAUACCAGAAAGGGACGGCUAAAUACGUGCCAGCAGCCGCGGUAA